CAAAACAGAAUAUCUUUUGGCGGCAUCACUACUACGCCUCCACGACUCCCUUGUUCCUCUAUUUACACGUAAGUCCUUUCUAUUUCGCUUCUCAUUGUUUCUAUUGAUUCGUUAUUCUCUGUGUGUGUCUCUCUCUCUUUGCUUUCACGGAAAUAUACCGAGAAGAGCAGCAGCGAGCAAUGGGAGUUCGUACGGACGCAGAGCUCUCGAUGGACCGUCGUGUGUUGAAGCACGUCCACGACAACGUUCACGGCAACAUCUAUAUCGAGCCGCUCUUUUUAAAGUUUAUUGAUACCGAACAGUUUCAGAGGCAAGUCCAUUUUACCAUCAACCCACAAAAUGCUUUAGCACACAUGGUUUAUCCAGGGGCAGUGCAUUCUCGCUUUGAACAUUCACUUGGGGUGUACUGGUUGGCCGGCAAAGCUGUUGAUACAAUCAAGACUUACCAAGGCUUCGAGCUCGAUAUUGAGCAUUCAGAUAUACAGACAGUAAAACUUGCAGGACUACUACAUGAUGUUGGCCAUGGGCCGUUCAGCCACUCGUUUGAGCGCGAGUUUCUUCCUCUGGUUCUUAAUGGCUUCAAAUGGUGUCAUGAGGACAUGUCUGUGAAGAUGAUAGACUACAUUGUUGAUGAGCACAAUAUCGACAUUGGUACUGAACGCCUUAAGAAAGUGAAGGAAAUGAUAACAGCUAGCCAUGAACAUACUCCAACAAAGAGUAUGGUUGAAAAGCAUUUCUUGUAUGAUAUUGUUGCAAAUGGUCGGAAUGGAAUAGAUGUAGAUAAGUUUGACUACAUAGUUCGGGACUCUCGGGCUUGUGGUCUAGGUUGCAAUUUUCAAUUUGAGAGGUUGAUGGAAACUAUGCGAGUCAUUGGUGACGAGAUAUGUUAUCGAGCCAAGGAUUAUCUGACAAUCCACAAGCUGUUCGCCACUCGUGCUGAUUUGCAUAGAACAGUUUAUACACAUGCAAAAGUAAAGGCAAUAGAACUCAUGGUUACCGAUGCUCUGCUAAAAGCUAACGAUUCUCUAGGCAUUUCAUCCUCAAUUCAUCAACCAGCUGAAUUUUGGAAGUUGGAUGACUCAAUAUUAAGACGAAUUGAAAUUUCUACUGAACCUGAGCUCAAGGAAUCAAGAGACUUGAUCCUACGCAUUCGGAGAAGGGAGCUAUAUCAGUUCUGCAAUGAGUUCUCUGUCCCCAAGGACAAAAUGGAGCACUUCAAUAAAAUCACUCCACAAGAUAUUGUCUGUUCCCAGAAAGCUGGUGGUGUUACACUAAAAGAAGAAGAUAUUGCCGUGAGCAAUGUAAAGAUUGAUUUGACACGUGAAAGGAAUAAUCCUCUUGAAUGCAUCAAGUUUUUCAAGCAGGUUAGCCUGAAAAUCUGGUGACAUUGAUUGCAUGCAGCAUCAUAUCACAUGAAGAAUUUAGUGAUGCUGCAAACGAUUUUCUUGAUGAUUUAGAUUAUGAGGACUUAAAACCCCUUUAUUGAAUAAAUCAGUAGCAUGCUACGUAGUGAACUACAUCCCCAACAUAGAAGGGGUAAAACCGCACGUACAGAAAACCACUUACAAUGCAGGCUAGCUACCUGUUAAUCAAAGCCAUAGCUCUUACUGGUAGCUUUGCUAAAAUUUAAAGGCACUGAAUUAUUGGUUGGAGGUAAAUUAAUGGAGAAACAAUCUUUCUUCUAGAGGACAAAACAUCACUUGCACAUUGGAGAAUUAACAGCUUGGCCGUUUUCAGGAUUAUGAGAGCGAUGAAACAUUCCCAAUCCAAGAUGACCGCAUCAGCCACCUGCUACCCGCAUUUUACCAAGACAUGAUAGUUAGGGUGUACUCGAAGAAGCCGGAACUGGUGGAUGCAGUAUCUGAGGCCUUCGAAAAUUUUCAGUUGA